CUGCAACAAAAGAGAUAAACAGAUAGCAAGGAAGCAUGUGAAAAUAUUUCAAUAUAAUAUUUCAUAAGAAAAAUGCAAAUUAUAACAAUACUGAGAUACCACUACAUUACCUAUUAGAAUGGCCAAAACUCCAAACACUGACAACAUAAAAUGCUGUCAGUGGAUCUACCAUUCUAGGGUGGGGAGGGCAUUGGCCUUCUUUUCACAAGUUCACUAGGCAGUGCACCAGUGGGGACUCUGGGUCUCUCCUACUAGAUAUAGGAUUAUGAUUACUACAAUUCAAGGUGAGAUUUGUGUGGGGACAAAGCCAACCAUAUUAUUUCAACCCUGACCCCUCCCAAAUCUCAUGUUCUCACAUUUCAAAACACAAUCAUACCUUCCCAACAGUCCCCCAAAGUCUUAACUGAUUCCAUCAUCAACCCAAAUGUCCAAGUCCAAAGAAGGUCAUUAUAUAAUAAUAAUAAAAGGGUCAAUUCAGCAAGAGGAUAUAACAAUUAUAAAUAUACAUGCACCCAACACUGGAUCAUACAGAUAUAUAAAGCAAAUAGUAUUAGAGCUAAAGAGAGAGAUAGACCACAAUACGAUAGUAGCUGAAGAAUUCAGCACUCCACUUUCAGCAUUGAAUAGAUCUUCCAGACAGAAAAUCAACAAAGAAACAUCUGACUUAAUCUGCACUAGAGACCAAAUGGAUCUAACAGAUCCAUUUACCGAACAUUGCAUCCAAUGGCUGCUGAGUACACAUUUUGUCCUCAGCACAUGGAUCAUUCUCGAGGAUAGACCAUAUAUUAUGUCACAAAACAAGCCUUAAAUCAUUCAAAAAAUGAGAUUACAUCAAGCAUCUUCUCUGAACACAAUGGAAUAAAACUACAAAUCAAUAACAAGAGAAAUUUUGGAAACUAUACAAACACAUGGAAAUUAAAUAAUAUGCUCCUGAAUGACCAGUGGGUCGAUGAGGAAAUUGAGAAGAAAAUGGAAAAAAUUCUUGAAACAAACGAUAAUGGAAACACAAUAUACCAAAACCUAUGGGAUAUAGUGAAAGCAGUACUAAGGGGGAAGUUUAUAGCUGUAAGUGCUUACAUCAAAAAAGAAGAAAAACUUAAAAAACAAACCUAAUGGUGCAUCUUAAAGAAUUAGAAAAGCAAGAGCAAACCAAAUCCAAAAUUAGUGACAACAUGAAAUAAUAAACAUCAAAGCACAAAUAAAUAAUUUUGAAAUGAAUAAAACAAUACAAAAUAUCAAUAAAAUAUAGUUUGUUUUUUUGAAAAGAUAAACAAAAUUGACGGUUCUUUAGCCAGACUAAGAAAAAAACAGAGAUGACCUAAAUCAAUAAUAUCACAGAUGAAAAAGGAGACAUUACAUCUGAUACACAGAAAUUCAAAGGAAUAUUAGUGGCUACUGUGAGCAACUACAUGCCAUUAAAUUGGAAAAUAUAGAAGAAAUAGACAAAUUCCUAGACACCUACAGUCUACCAAGAUUGAACCAUGAGGAAAUUCAAAACCUGAACAGACAAAUAAGAAAUAACAAGAUCAAAGUUGAAAUAAAAAUUGUUCAAAUAAAGCCUGAAACUCAAUGGCUUCACUGCUGAAAUCUACCAAACAUGUAAAAAAGAACUAAUAGCAAUUCUACUCAAACUAUUCCAAAAAAUAGAGAAGGAAGGAAUACUUUCAAACUUAUGGUAUGAGGCCAUUAUUAUCCUCAUACCAAAACCAAAGACAUAUCAAAGAAAGAAAACUGCAGGUCAAUAUCUCUGAUGAGUAUUGAUGCAAAAAUAAUCAACAAAAUACAGCAAGCCAAAUUCAGCCAUAUGUGAAAAAGAUCAUUCAUCUUGACCAAGUGGGAUUUAUCCCUGGGAUGCAAAGAUAAUUCAACAUAUGCAAAUCAAGCAAUGGGAUACAUCAUAUCAACAGAAUAAAGGACAAUAUGGUCAAAUCAAUAGAUGCUAAAAUUCAUAAAAAGACCUUUGAUAGUUGAUCAGAAUUGGUGCUUUUUCUAUUAUUAUUAAUAAGUAAUAAUAAAACAUGACUUCAUAAUAAACAUAUUUAUUGUUUGUCAUACUUCUAUAAAUCUCUGCCCUACAAUCACAUAAAUUUGCAUAAAUUAUAUUUUAUAUUAUUUCCAUAAAAAAGUUUAAAUGGUUCUUUUAUAAUCACAUUAUUGAGUGUAAUACUAACUGUAGAGAACAUUUGACUAGACUCAGGAUAACUUAAUCCUCUUUUUAUAAUUUUAUACAUUUAAUGAUGGGAAGACUUUUGCAUAGACGGGUUUUUGGCUUUGUACAUUUCAGAUCUUGCUAUUCCUCUACUAUCUUCAUAUUUCCAGUGCUGGAAGCUGUAGCUGUUGUUCAUAUCACAACGUGACUCCAGGUUUUCAUCUUCAUGUUGUAUGCACAGAAGGUGGUAGGAAUAUUUGUGGAAGCCACUCCUACCCUGGGGCAGGGACAGGAGGCAGAAAAAUUCUAGGCAGAAAAGGAUGGGACCCUUGGAGAAGCCCUACCCUGGAGCCUGGAACCAUGGCCCAAAGCUCCACCAGUAGAGAGCAGAGAAGGGGAAAAGAGGAGAAACAGCUGGAUGUCAGAGACUGUGGCUUGACAUUGGAGAGAAGCAGCUUGACCUCAGCGAGACUUCGGAGAAGAGUAUGGCCUGAGAUGGCUGGACUUCACGGGAAGGAUACCUUCCCACUCCAUCCCCUUUACAGCUCCCCAUCCCGCUAAGAGCCACUUCCAUCAGCAA
rnacentral:lncRNA from 1 species